CACCAGAAUUUUAAAAAAUACCUGGGAGAAAUCUGAACUGGCUUCACUGAUAAAUCUCAGGUUGCAGCCAUUACUCCCCUGGGAUACCUGAGUGGAUGCAACAUUUCUGCUACGCUUUCUGAAGUAUUGAUUGGGAAAACCAGCUCAGAUAUGGUGCUGUUUCCUAGCAGUGACCUGCUCUGAGGCACAGAGAUCGCCAUGAUCGAAACCUGGAUAACAUCAAG
rnacentral:lncRNA from 1 species